GGGGAGUUAGCUCAGUUGGUAGAGCGCUGCGAUCGCACCGCAGAGGUCAUCGGUUCGACUCCGUUACUCUCCA
rnacentral:tRNA from 2 species